CUUCUCCCGCCUCCGUUUUUUAGGGGAAGAAGGGUCUGCUGUUGUAGGGAGGGAACAGAGAGAAGGAAAUCUUACUUCAGCCUUGCUCUACAUUAGACAUCAGCUAGAACUUCCCCAUUGUGACGGGAAGGUGGUGUCUCCUCGACCUCGGUUCGUUGUGGCCAGCCUGCCCAGAGCUAUUCCUGGCAUCAUCACACCUCCUCCAUCCUCAGACUGCCCCAGAACCUGGUGAGAAGGUCACCACCUCUGUUCAUCCCCAAGGCAGCACAGAGUGAAAGGGAAAAGCAGGCAUGCAGUGGGAAGAAGCAAUCGUUGAUGAAGAAACUGGGUCUCAAGAGUUCCCAAGUUGAGGUCACCUACAGGCCUACCAAAGCCCUCCUGCCUGCUGGGCUCCUACCCUCAUACCUCUCCUGGUUCUUCCUGCCCCAGAGGACACCACUCCUGAAGCAGAGA
ensembl:lncRNA